rnacentral:rRNA from 1 species
CGGUCUCCGANCUGUUUAAAGUUGAUCUGCUCCAUGAUUACUGCGCAGCUACACAUGCAAGUCGAGCGGCAGCACAAGUGAGUUUACUUAUGAGGUGGCGAGCGGCGGACGGGUGAGUAAUGCCUAGGAUCUGCCCAGUCGAGGGGGAUAACAGUUGGAAACGACUGCUAAUACCGCAUACGCCCUACGGGGGAAAGGAGGGGACCUUCG